GCGCGAGUGGUGAAAUUGGUAUACACGCCAGAUUUAGGUUCUGGUGUCUUCGGACGUGCGGGUUCAAGUCCCGCCUCGCGCACCA
rnacentral:tRNA from 1 species